rnacentral:tRNA from 1 species
GCCCGGGUGUCGGAACUGGUAGACGACGGUGCCUUAAAAGCGCCUGCCCUUCGGGGCGUGUGGGUUCGAAUCCCACCCCGGGCACCA